GUGUCAGCAGCCGCGGUAAUACGUAGGGGGCAAGCGUUAUCCGGAAUUACUGGGUGUAAAGGGUGCGUAGGCGGUAAUGUAGGUCAGGUGUGAAAGCCCGAAGCUCAACUUCGGGAUUGCACUUGAAACUACAUAACUAGAGUACAGGAGAGGUGAGUGGAAUUCCUAGUGUAGCGGUGAAAUGCGUAGAUAUUAGGAGGAACACCAGUGGCGAAGGCGACUCACUGGACUGUAACUGACGCUGAGGCACGAAAGCGUGGGUAGCGAACAGGAUUAGAUACCCUGGUAGUCCACGCCGUAAACGAUGAAUGCUAGGUGUCGGCUCAUUAAGGGUCGGUGCCGAAGUAAACACAUUAAGCAUUCCACCUGGGGAGUACGUACGCAAGUAUAAAACUCAAAGAAAUUGACGG
rnacentral:rRNA from 1 species